UACGUAGGGUGCAAGCGUUGUCCGGAAUUAUUGGGCGUAAAGAGCUCGUAGGCGGUUUGUUGCGUCGGCUGUGAAAUCCCGAGGCUCAGCCUCGGGUCUGCAGUCGAUACGAGCAAACUAGAGUGUUGCAGGGGAGACUGGAAUUCCUGGUGUAGCGGUGAAAUGCGCAGAUAUCAGGAGGAACACCGGUGGCGAAGGCGGGUCUCUGGGCAGUAACUGACGCUGAGGAGCGAAAGCGUGGGGAGCGAACAGG
rnacentral:rRNA from 1 species